UUUUUUGGAGAGUUUGAUCCUGGCUCAGAGUUAACGCUGGCGGCGUGCCUAACACAUGCAAGUCGAGCGAAGAGUACCAGAGUACCGGGCUCUUAGCGGCAGACGGGUGAGUAAUACUUAAACAAUCUGCCCUCGAAUGGGAGACAACCAAGCGAAAGUUUGGCUAAUACCCCAUACAAUCCUCUUGAGGCAUCUCAAGGGGAUGAAAGGCCCGCAAGGGUCGUUCGAGGAGGAGUUUGAGUCCUAUCAGCUAGUUGGCGGUGUAACAGACCACCAAGGCUAUGACGGGUAGCCGAUCUAAAAGGAU
rnacentral:rRNA from 1 species